rnacentral:rRNA from 1 species
AUUGAACGCUGGCGGCGUGCCUAACACAUGCAAGUCGAGCGGCAGCGCGGGAGCAAUCCUGGCGGCGAGCGGCGGACGGGUGAGUAACGCUCGGGAAUCUGCCUGUUAGUGGGGGACGAACCCGGGGAAACGUCGGGCUAAUACCGCAUACGCACUACGGUGGAAAGCCGGGGACCGGCAAGGCCUGGCGCUAACAGAUGAGCCCAAGUCGGAUUAGCUAGUUGGUAGGGUAACGGCCUACCAAGGCGACGAUCCGUAACUGGUCUGAGAGGACGACCAGUCACACCGGAACUGAGACACGGUCCGGACUCCUACGGGAGG